rnacentral:lncRNA from 1 species
CCUUACUGGCCUUUUAGCCAGCUCUACCCGAGAGCAAAUGGCAUUCCGUUCUCGGACUCAGGAGGAGCUCGGGGACAUAGUCAGGGAGAUGCUCCUCAUGGUGAGUUGUUAUCUUCAGUUCUAGGUUGUACUUUAUUCUCAUUGUUUUCUAUUUUAAUAGUUUUUCUUUUCACCAGGUGACGGGUGUCUUCAUGGAGAUCGACACCCGCGAUGGGUCUCUCC